CGGCUGACCUCUUGCCACGCCACCGUUGCCUCUCUCUCUCCAUGCUCCAUGGGCACCGCGAUGCCAGCAGUCUCCCUGAGGAGCCAGGCCUCGGGCUGUGCAGGCCCCUUGCAUUAAGAGACCCUCUGCAUAUCUUCUUUCCCUCCCACUGAAGUCGACAAUGUGACUGCAUGAACUCACAGGAUAAAUUAGAUUGUGGUGCCCGAGAGACAUUCAAGUGGAGCUGACUUGGGCUGUCUAGAAGAGAGGCGACGGGUGGCUCCGAAGGAAGAGGCCUGACACCGAGUCCGGAAGAACGUCGCAUCGAGGCAGAGGGCGCAGGACGAGCCAGCGACAAAGGCGGGGGCGGAGCAGCGGAGGGGUAGGCGCGAGGCAACGGCAGCCUUGGCCGCGCGGGCCACGCUCAGAACUUGGCAAGCCCUCUUUCCCAAACACUCGCCCCCAGCCGCCCCGGCCUCCCGGCGAACAACGCCUGUGCCUAAUCGCGCCGGGGACACCUAAUCCCGCCGCGCGCCGCUCCAGCCCGCGCCGCGCUCCCGAGGGCAGGGGCUCCAAGGGCGAGGGCUCCUGACGGCCUGGGCUCCGAGGGUCUUGGCUCCGAGGGCGGGGGCUCCGAUAGGAGGGGCUCCGAGGGCUGGGGCUCCGAUGCUUG
rnacentral:lncRNA from 1 species